AAAUUGAAGAGUUUGAUCAUGGCUCAGAUUGAACGCUGGCGGCAGGCCUAACACAUGCAAGUCGAACGGUAACAGGAAGCAGCUUGCUGCUUCGCUGACGAGUGGCGGACGGGUGAGUAAUGUCUGGGAAACUGCCUGAUGGAGGGGGAUAACUACUGGAAACGGUAGCUAAUACCGCAUAAUGUCGCAAGACCAAAGAGGGGGACCUCGGGCCUCUUGCCAUCGGAUGUGCCCAGAUGGGAUUAGCUUGUUGGUGGGGUAACGGCUCACCAAGGCGACGAUCCCUAGCUGGUCUGAGAGGAUGACCAGCCACACUGGAACUGAGACACGGUCCAGACUCCUACGGGAGGCAGCAGUGGGGAAUAUUGCACAAUGGGCGCAAGCCUGAUGCAGCCAUGCCGCGUGUAUGAAGAAGGCCUUCGGGUUGUAAAGUACUUUCAGCGGGGAGGAAGGGAGUAAAGUUAAUACCUUUGCUCAUUGACGUUACCCGCAGAAGAAGCACCGGCUAACUCCGUGCCAGCAGCCGCGGUAAUACGGAGGGUGCAAGCGUUAAUCGGAAUUACUGGGCGUAAAGCGCACGCAGGCGGUUUGUUAAGUCAGAUGUGAAAUCCCCGGGCUCAACCUGGGAACUGCAUCUGAUACUGGCAAGCUUGAGUCUCGUAGAGGGGGGUAGAAUUCCAGGUGUAGCGGUGAAAUGCGUAGAGAUCUGGAGGAAUACCGGUGGCGAAGGCGGCCCCCUGGACGAAGACUGACGCUCAGGUGCGAAAGCGUGGGGAGCAAACAGGAUUAGAUACCCUGGUAGUCCACGCCGUAAACGAUGUCGACUUGGAGGUUGUGCCCUUGAGGCGUGGCUUCCGGAGCUAACGCGUUAAGUCGACCGCCUGGGGAGUACGGCCGCAAGGUUAAAACUCAAAUGAAUUGACGGGGGCCCGCACAAGCGGUGGAGCAUGUGGUUUAAUUCGAUGCAACGCGAAGAACCUUACCUGGUCUUGACAUCCACGGAAGUUUUCAGAGAUGAGAAUGUGCCUUCGGGAACCGUGAGACAGGUGCUGCAUGGCUGUCGUCAGCUCGUGUUGUGAAAUGUUGGGUUAAGUCCCGCAACGAGCGCAACCCUUAUCCUUUGUUGCCAGCGGUCCGGCCGGGAACUCAAAGGAGACUGCCAGUGAUAAACUGGAGGAAGGUGGGGAUGACGUCAAGUCAUCAUGGCCCUUACGACCAGGGCUACACACGUGCUACAAUGGCGCAUACAAAGAGAAGCGACCUCGCGAGAGCAAGCGGACCUCAUAAAGUGCGUCGUAGUCCGGAUUGGAGUCUGCAACUCGACUCCAUGAAGUCGGAAUCGCUAGUAAUCGUGGAUCAGAAUGCCACGGUGAAUACGUUCCCGGGCCUUGUACACACCGCCCGUCACACCAUGGGAGUGGGUUGCAAAAGAAGUAGGUAGCUUAACCUUCGGGAGGGCGCUUACCACUUUGUGAUUCAUGACUGGGGUGAAGUCGUAACAAGGUAACCGUAGGGGAACCUGCGGUUGGAUCACCUCCUUA
rnacentral:rRNA from 1 species